rnacentral:tRNA from 1 species
CACUGAGAAGCUAAACAGGGCCUAGCGUUAGCCUUUUAAGCUAAAGACUGGUGAUUCCCAACCACCCUCAAUGA